GGAGGCGUGGCUGAGUGGUUGAAAGCGACGGUCUUGAAAACCGUUGGGGGUGAAAGCUCCUCGUGGGUUCGAAUCCUACCGCCUCCGC
rnacentral:tRNA from 15 species